rnacentral:rRNA from 1 species
UGAGGAAUAUUGGUCAAUGGGCGGGAGCCUGAACCAGCCAAGCCGCGUGAGGGAGGAAGGCCCUAUGGGUCGUAAACCUCUUUUGUCAGGGAACAAAAGCGAGUAUGUAUACUAGUCUGAGUGUACCUGAAGAAAAAGCAUCGGCUAACUCCGUGCCAGCAGCCGCGGUAAUACGGAGGAUGCGAGCGUUAUCCGGAUUUAUUGGGUUUAAAGGGUGCGUAGGCGGCGGUGCAAGUCAGCGGUAAAAGCCCGGGGCUCAACCCCGGCGAGCCGUUGAAACUGCAGUGCUAGAGAAGGCGAGAGGUACGCGGAAUGCGCAGUGUAGCGGUGAAAUGCUUAGAUAUUGCGUAGAACUCCGAUUGCGAAGGCAGCGUACUGGCGCCUGACUGACGCUGAGGCACGAAAGCGUGGGGAUCGAACAGGAUUAGAUACCC